rnacentral:piRNA from 1 species
UGUUUGAUUUAAACCCAUAGGGCCUUCUUCUG